rnacentral:rRNA from 1 species
AGCGAACGCUGGCGGCAGGCCUAACACAUGCAAGUCGAACGGACCCUUCGGGGUUAGUGGCGGACGGGUGAGUAACACGUGGGAACGUGCCCUUUGGUUCGGAACAACUCAGGGAAACUUGAGCUAAUACCGAAUGUGCCCUUUGGGGGAAAGAUUUAUCGCCAUUGGAGCGGCCCGCGUCUGAUUAGCUAGUUGGUGGGGUAAUGGCCUACCAAGGCUACGAUCAGUAGCUGGUCUGAGAGGAUGAGCAGCCACAUUGGGACUGAGACACGGCCCAAACUCCUACGGGAGGCAGCAGUGGGGAAUCUUGCGCAAUGGGCGAAAGCCUGACGCAGCCAUGCCGCGUGAAUGAUGAAGGUCUUAGGAUUGUAAAAUUCUUUCACCGGGGACGAUAAUGACGGUACCCGGAGAAGAAGCCCCGGCUAACUUCGUGCCAGCCGCCGCGGUAAUAC